rnacentral:rRNA from 1 species
UAUCUCUGUAGAGUCUGCAUAUCAAUAAGCGGAGGAAAAGAAACUAACUAGGAUUCCCUUAGUAACGGCGAGUGAAGCGGGAAGAGCUCAAAUUUGAAAUCUUCAAGGUUCUACCUUGACGAAUUGUAGUUUAAAGAAGUGUUUUCUGUUGGAGUUUUGGUAAAAGUUCUUUGGAAUAGGACAUCAUAGAGGGUGAGAAUCCCGUAUUUGACCAUUACUUCCAGCGUUGUGAUACACUUUCAAAGAGUCGGAUUGUUUGGGAAUGCAGUCCAAAAUGGGUGGUAAAUUUCAUCUAAAGCUAAAUAUUGGCGAGAGACCGAUAGCGAACAAGUACCGUGAGGGAAAGAUGAAAAGAACUUUGAAAAGAGAGUUAAACAGUACGUGAAAUUGUCAAAAGGGAAGCGUUUGACACCAGUGUUGUUUUCUCGAAAAUCAAUUAAAAAAAGUUGGAUUUUGUAUUGUUAAGACCUUAUCAGCUUACUGUACUCUUUUCUUGCUUUUUUUAAUGCACUUUUCGUUUAACAAGUCAACAUCAAUUUCUUUUGUUGUAAAAGAGUCAUUGGAAGGUGGCUUUCACUUCGGUGAAAGUGUUUAUAGCCUUUGGCUUCUGCAAUCGGAGAGAUUGAGGUCUGCAGCGUAGAUCCUUCGGGGCUAGAUACGUAGAUGCUAAGUUAUAGUUUUUUAUAGACAACUUGUUGACUAUAAUUAAUCAUGUAGCUUACUCGUUUGCGCUAUUUUACCUACGCUUAGGAUGUUGAAGAUGUAGCACAUCAU